GGGCUAGGGCUCAGUGGUAGAGUACUCACCUAGCAUGUGUGAGGAACUGGGUUCAAUCCUCAGCAGCACA
rnacentral:tRNA from 1 species